UGGUCAGGUCACCUCCCAGGUUGUCAUGGUUUAUACCCCAUGUCUCCUUCUAGCCUCAUGUGUUCAGAGUGAGCGGCCCGUCCUCUGUCACGCCCCUGUGGUGUCCAUGGAGCGUGCUGACCACAUAAGAACUGAUACUGGGUCUCCAAGGACCAGUGGGCCCUCAGGUUCAUGAAGAAAAUAAGGGCAGUGCACGUCCAUGCCAAGAGAAGUGGAAAGGAGCUGAGCAGCAUCCAGGCUGCCGUGAAGAAGGUAGCUGUCAGGACGCACGGGGCCUCCCUCACCUCUGCAUAAUAAAAUGUUUACAGAACAGACAGAUGGACAAAGAAGGUGCAGAGCCCUGCGGAAUCAAAUAACACUUAGGAGCCCUGGACAAAGCCUAGCGGUCCCCUGAAAUGGCACCCAGGAGUCUUGCUUGUCUCAGUCUUUCACACCCUUACCAACACAGACUGGCUCUGAAGGUUCUUUAUACUCUGUGCCUCUAGCACAGUAUGCCGUCAUACUAGAUAGUAAGUACAGGGUCAUUGAUUGGUAAGAAUUUUUGUUUGUUGUUUGAACUACUCACUCUGUAGUUCAGGCUGGCU